GACGAACGCUGGCGGCGUGCCUAAUACAUGCAGGUAGAACGCUGAAGGAGGAGCUUGCUUCUCUGGAUGAGUUGCGAACGGGUGAGUAACGCGUAGGUAACCUGCCUGGUAGCGGGGGAUAACUAUUGGAAACGAUAGCUAAUACCGCAUAAUAGUAGAUGUUGCAUGACAUUUGCUUAAAAGGUGCAAUUGCAUCACUACCAGAUGGACCUGCGUUGUAUUAGCUAGUUGGUGGGGUAACGGCUCACCAAGGCGACGAUACAUAUCCGACCUGAGAGGGUGAUCGGCCACACUGGGACUGAGACACGGCCCAGACUCCUACGGGAGGCAGCAGUAGGGAAUCUUCGGCAAUGGACGGAAGUCUGACCGAGCAACGCCGCGUGAGUGAAGAAGGUUUUCGGAUCGUAAAGCUCUGUUGUAAGAGAAGAACGAGUGUGAGAGUGGAAAGUUCACACUGUGACGGUAACUUACCAGAAAGGGACGGCUAACUACGUG
rnacentral:rRNA from 1 species